rnacentral:lncRNA from 10 species
ACUCACCGCAAGUCCCGCUGCAGCACGUCACUGAUGAAGGUCUCGUAGCGCAGCACUUUCUCCCCCGUGGCCUCCACCGCCCGCCGCUUAGGGGGCGUCGCCAUGAUGGGCUCCUGGGGAGUGGGGAGGGGGAAGACCAUGUUGACCGAUCCAGUUUGGCCUCACACACAGUUCAUCUCUACCCUCUCAACGCUGGGAAUCGGCUUGUCCGGCUCAAGCUGGAGGUUCAGCCUUCCGCCCCUCCCAACUCGGGGACCCGACCACCCAGGGACACCCAAGCGCGGCCUUUACCUCAGGCCGCCAGCAAUAAGAACGGUUAGAUUUUCAAACAAGAACUUAUAACCCAGCAAGAAUGGGCCUUUGCCUGGAGAAGAAUCCAGACCAUGGGAUGAAUCCCCAAAUGCUAUUUCCAUCUGUAGAGCCUAGAGCACCCACCCCUACCAAGGAAGUCUUCCCAGAUAAUUUGUGUUUCAUAUGUAAAAGCAAGUUUUUUUUUUCAAAUGCUCAAAACCCAAGCAAGUUAAGCCCUUCCUUCCUUCCUUCCUUCCUUUCUUUUCUCUCUCUCUCUCUUUCUUUCUCUCUCUCUCUCUUUCUUUCUUUUUUUUCUUUUUUAGACAGGGUCUGUGUCCCCUAGGCUGGAGUGCAGUGGUAUGAUCAUGACUCAUUGCAGCCUCAACCUCCCAGGCUCAAGUGAUCCUCCCGCUUCAGCCUCUGGAGUACCUGGGACUACUGGCAUACACCACCACGCCCAUCUAAUUUUUAAAAAAGUUUUUGUAGAGACAGAGUCUCACUAUGUUGCCCAGGCUGGUCUCAAACUCCUAGGCUUAAGUGAUUUGCCCACCUCGGCCUCCCAAAAUGCCGAGAUUAUAGGCAUGAGCCAGCACACCUGGCCAAGUUAAGCUUUUCUUUGCCCUUAGAACGAGAUAAUUGUAAAAUGAAAACAUUGAGAUUAGUUUUUUUGGUCUGUAAAUCUCAUGUUACAUAUAGUUUAAAUUACAUUGAGUGUGAUUGGAAUAGAUACUAGGUAGAAAAAUAUUAUCUAGUUAAUCUAUACCACUUUCCUGUGAAAAGAGAGAAAAGAAGACACAUAUUUAUUUAACAGAGAACACAAUUCUGAUGGGCUGGAGAUGAGUCUGUGUAAGUCUAUUAACUUAUAUUUCACAAAAAAGAAUUUUUUACUUAAAAAUGUAUUUCCAACUUUAUUUUUACAUUUCAAACCUACAGAAAAGUUGACAGUGAACACUCAUAUACCCUGCACUUAAGUUCGCCAGUUGUUUUAUUUUGAAUUUUUAAAAUUUUUUUAGAGGCAGGGUCUUGCUCUCUUGCCUAGGCUAGAAUGCAGUGGUGUGAUCUCGGUUCACUGCAACCUCUGCCACCGGGCUCAAGCAAUCCUCCCGCCUAAGCCUCCUGCAUAGCUGGGACUACAGGCAUGAGCCACCAUGCCCAGCUAAUUUUUUGUAGAAAUGGGGUUUCACCAUGUUGCCCAGGCUGGUCUCGAAUGCCUGAGCUCAAUCAGUUCGCCUAACUCGGCCUCCCAGGGUGCUGGGAUUACAGGCGUGAGCCACCAUGCCCGGCCUGGAUUCACUCGUUGUUAAUAUUUGAUCACAUUUGCUUUCUUUCCAGACCAUAGGAUAAUUGUUGACAUGGCUGCAUAGCAUUCCAUUCUUUGGAUGGCCUCAGAUUUUUGAGCCACUCCUCUGUCACUGGAUAUUUGAAUGUGUUCAGAUAUUUUCGUUGUUAUAACCAGGAUGGGAUAAGUCUUUGCUGUCAAAUUUUUGUGCGGAGCCAUGAUUAUUUCCUUGUGAUAAAUUCCUAGAAGUAGAAUUUAUAGAUUUUUUUUGAGACAGAGUCUCACUUUGUUGCCAAGGCUGGAGUGUAGUGGUGUGAUCUCUGCUCAUGGCAACCUCUGCCUCCUGGUUUCAAGUGAUUCUUCUGCUUCAGCCUCUGGAGUAGCUAGGACUACGGGCACACACUACCAUGCCGCCUAGCUAAUUUUUGUAUUUUUAAUAGACACAGGGUUUCACCAUGUUGGCCAGGCUGGUCUCGAACUUGUGGCCUCAAGUGAUCUGCCCACCUCGGCCUCCCAGGGCGCUGGGAUUACAGGCAUGAGCCACCUCACCCGGCUGAAUUUAUGGAUUUAAAGGAGGUCACUGCAUUGUAAAUCAAGUGUUGAGUGACAGUGGUACGCAUAACAGUGAACCUCCUCAUCUAAGCUCUAUAUCAGGGGUCAGCAAAUUAUGGCCCCUGGUUUGCUGACCCUUUACAGUUUCCUAUAGCCUGCAAACUAGGAAUACUAUUUACAUCUUUAAAGGGCUUUAGAAAAGUAAAACUAAUAUUUUGUGACACAUCAAAAUUAUAUGAAAUUUGCAUUUUAGUGUCCAUUAAUAAAAUUUUCUUGGAACACAAGUCUCACUCAUGCGUUUACAUAUUGUCUGUUACUGCUUUCACGCUAUAAUGGCAGAGUUGAGUAGUUGCCAAAGAGACCACAUGGUAUGGACAUCCUAAAGUAUUUACUAUCUGGCCUUUUACAGAAAAGGUUUGCCAACCCCUGCUCUGUACAAUGCCUGUCACCAAUACAGAGGUUGGGGCUCUAACCAGGUGGGUCUCCCUGGCUUCCACUGGCGACCUCUUAACCUGGCUUAUGGGUGCACAUUUUCAGGCUGGUGCUUCUGGGAGAUAUGAGAGACACAGUCAGCUUGUUUCCAGCUCCAAGAUGUGAGAUGGACUGUGUCUCUUAUGUCUGCAUUUGAAUCUUCUCUCCUUUCCAUCCAACUUCCUGCCCCCAGCUCUGACUCAUAGGUCUCUGUCUUUGCCUUUUCCCAAGAAGAGCAAGAAAUGACUAAGGCCCAGGGGAGGCUGCAUUUCCCUGAUAGCUAAUGAUGUAGAACAUCUUGCCAUGUGCUUAUUUGUCAUCUACAUGUCCUUUAUGGUGAAAUGUCUCUUCACAUUCUUUGCUCAUUUACCAAAUGGAUUGCUUAAAAAAAAAAAAAACUUGAGUUUUGAGAGUUCCUUACAUAUUCUAGGUAUGAGUUCUUUGUCAGAUAUGUGGUUUGCAAAUAUUUCCUCCCAGGCUGUAGUUUGUCUUUUUGUCCUCUUAACAAGGUCUUUGUUAGAGCAAACACAUUUAAUUUUGAAGUCUAGUUUAUUGAUUUAAAAACAUUUUUUGGAUCAUGCUUUUGUUGUUGUGUCUAAGAACUCUUCACAAGCCGUAGCUCCCAAAGACGUUCUCCUGUGUUUUAUUUUUAAAGUUUUUUAAUUUUAUGUUUGACAUUUAAAUCUGUGAUCUGUUUUUAAAAAACAGCUUUAUUGAGAUGUAAUUCACAUACAAUAAAACCCACACAUUUGAAGUUUACAGUUCAGCAGUUUUUAAUAUAUUCACAGAGUUGUACAAACAUCACCACAAUCUAACUUUAUUUUUUUAAUAAUUUUUUUUUUUUUGAGACAGGGUCUCACGCUGUCACCCAGGCUGGAGUGCAGUGGUAGGAUCUUGGCUCACUACAGCCUCAACCUCUCAAACGCAAGCGAUCCUCCCUGCCUCACCCCCUCAAGUAGCUGAGACUAUAGGCAUGUGCCACCACGCCGGCUAAGUUUUGUAUUUUUUGUAGAGAUGGGGUUCCACUGUGUUACCCAGGCAGGUCUUGAACUCCUGAGCUCAUUCGAUCCACCCACCUCGGCCUCCCGAAGUACUGGGAUUACAGGCGUGAGGCACCACGCCCAGCAAUCUAGAGUAUUUUCAUCACCCCAAAUAGAACUCCUGUACCCACUCCUCAGUGUGUUCUCCCCACCCCAGCCCUAAGCAACCACAAAUUUAAUUUCAUCUGUAAAAAUUUUUGUAUUCUGCACAUUUCAAUAAAUAGAAUCAUAUACACUAUGUGGCCUUUUAUGCCUGGCUUCUUUCACUUAGUAUAAUGUUUUUAAGUUUCAUUUGUCCAUGUUAUAAUACUUAUUAGUACUUUAUUCCUUUCUAGGGCUGAAUAAUAGUCCCUUGUGCAUAUAUGCCACAUUUUGUUUAUUUCUCUUACCAAUUUCAGUAAAAUGUAAAGUCCUUACUCCUUUUAAGUCCCUUUUCCUCCCCCU